rnacentral:lncRNA from 1 species
GUGCGGGUGACGGAUUUUAAGAAACUGGCAACAUAGAAGCUGGUUUUAAAAUAGUCAUAAGAAGUUGGCUUUUUCAGCUCCGAUACUGUUCGUGGCAAAACACCAUGGAGACAAAUAGAUCUCUCUUUAUCCAGGAAGCUCUGAGUGAGCAGAAAAUGUAUGUGACAUCCUUACAGCAUUUCUUUGCGAAUUUGGUCCUCAUCCUGACUCUGGAGAACUUGGAAACACGGAGAACAACAGAAUAGUAAAUAUUACACAUAAGGAACCCAUUUCCUUUGUUGGGAUUGGAGAAAUGGCAUUUGCCAGAGAUGAUGGUUUUUAAUCUAAUAAAAGCAAUCAAACCAUUAACAAUA